rnacentral:lncRNA from 1 species
UAGCUCCAAAAAAUAGAGUCAUUGUCGAAGGAUCUCACCAUCUAGGCCAUCAAAAGCCAGAGAGGUGAUUAUUUUCUCUUCUAAGGCAAAUGUCAAACUCUUUAAGUCCUUAGAAGCUAUCAUGGUUUCUCUUGAGAAAUUCUCUGCAUUUUCAAGCCUGGAAAUAAAUAUUCAGAAAAGCAGUAUAGACUUCUUAAAGGUUUGGGAAGAAGAACAAGAAGGUUUGGGAGUAAAAGACUUUGAAGCUGCUGCUGACUUAGGACCAAAGAUGAUGCUGUCUGGACGGCUGGUCAUGAUCUGCACUUCUGACUGGUGCCUGCCUAUAUACCCAUAUCCUACCUAAUUUGGUCGGGUAAACAUUUGAGAAAGGGAAAAAUAGAAAUCGUAGAGAACAAAUCGUGGACAGAUUUGGGGGAGAUAUACAAACAGAACAUAUUUGGGGGAGAAGGAGAAAAUCACCUGUGCUCCGGCGAGAAGGAAAAAAUCGAGAGAGAAAAGGGAAAAUAGAGGGUUUAUGGUGUGAUUGAAAAUAUUUG